rnacentral:ncRNA from 1 species
UACACGUUACGUGACUGGCGGAUCAGUGGAUUAACCACAAGAAGCGUAACGGUUGUCGAAGCCGACCGCCUGGGCCUAAAGU